rnacentral:rRNA from 1 species
AUUGAACGCUGGCGGCAGGCCUAACACAUGCAAGUCGAGCGGAACGGCGGACGGGUGAGUAAUGCCUAGGAAUCUGCCUGGUAGUGGGGGAUAACGUCCGGAAACGGGCGCUAAUACCGCAUACUAUCAGAUGAGCCUAGGUCGGAUUAGCUAGUUGGUGGGGUAAAGGCCUACCAAGGCGACGAUCCGUACCUGGUCUGAGAGGAUGAUCAGUCACACUGGAACUGAGACACGGUCCAGACGCCUACGGUAGUCAGCAGGGGGGAAUAUUGUACAAUGGGCGAAAGCCUGAUCCAGCCAUGCCGAGUGGGUGAAGAAGGUCUUCGGAUUUUAAAGCCCUGUAAUUUGGGAGGCGUUACCAACAGAAUAAGCACCGGCUAACUUCGUGCCAGCGGCCGCGGUAAUUC